UACGUAGGGUGCAAGCGUUGUCCGGAAUUACUGGGCGUAAAGAGCGCGCAGGCGGCUGGUCAAGUCCGAUGUGAAAUCUCCCGGCUUAACUGGAAAACUGCAUCGGAAACUGAUCGGCUUGAAGGUGGGAGAGGGUAGUGGAAUUCCCGGUGUAGUGGUGAAAUGCGUAGAUAUCGGGAGGAACACCAGUGGCGAAGGCGACUACCUGGCCCAUUCUUGACGCUGAGGCGCGAAAGCUAGGGGAGCGAACGGG
rnacentral:rRNA from 1 species